rnacentral:misc_RNA from 1 species
GGAUAUUUAAAAAAAUUGAAUUGAAAUUAUAGAAGAACAUGAGCUGCUCUCAGUUUCAGCUUCCAUGACAAUAUAUUUUCACAGGCAUGCCACCUCGUGCAUAGUUCAUACAACCAAAUGUUUUCAUCCUACCGCGGUAAAUGUUUACUCAUUUACAUUACCUGUUCCGAAGGAAGGCAGCCUUCUUGUCAUUUCAGUUUCUUUUUUAGCUUUCAUUGACUGGCUUAAAGUCAAACUAUGAUCUGUUGCAUGAAGGGGCUGCUGGAAUGGGAUCAGAGGCCUUUUUGUUGGCAAACAUGUUUCAGAGAGGUUACUGCUUGUAACAAUGGGAGAAGUGACCUUUGUUUUCAGCUUUCUAGGCGCUUCCAGUCUCUCUAAUAUCCUUGAAGUUUUUACAUCCAGCUGCUUACUACUUUCUGGUAAAUAUACAAGUAACAUAUCUGUCUUAGGUUUAGAAAUACAAGAAGAAGAGUAUAUCUUGGGGACUUCACUGACAAUCAGCUGUUCCCAUUCUUCUGCAAUAGAAGAAGUGGUUUUGUCUUCUCUAACUGUAAGAUUCAACUGUGGAGAUUCACCUUCAAUGACUAUAGCAUCUAUUACACAAUUUGAUUGUACAGUCACGUCUGAAGAAUCUUGUUGGUUUGAGAACAGUUCAGAUGUUGCCUCAUUCCUUUUAGGUGGAACUGACCCAAAUUGUAAGCUCUCCUUUACAAGCAAGUUCAGCUUUUGAUGGAAGCCUCUCUCAUGCUGCACUGGAUUGUAGUCUCUCAAUUCAAUCUUUAAUAAAGAUGCUUGAAUGGAAUUGUUAACAUCCUUAGACACCGAAGAAUGGAUGAAUUGAUUGAUGUCAGGCAUAGGCAAGACUUCCUCUAAACCUGCAAGACGCUGCGUAGUUGUAGAGUAAUUUGUUAAAAAUGGACAGAGAAGAGAGAAAGUCCUGGGAAGAAAAGUUGAACCAAAAUCUGUCAUGCAUCCUGAGAAGCAUUGGUCCCUUUGGUCCCUUGUCUGAAGGCUGAAGAAUAUAAUAGCAGUGGAAUUCUGUCUUCCUUAUGGUUUCUACGUUAUAAUAUGAAGAACAUACCAAACCCUGAUCCAUUGUAUGUAAAGCACUGCACAUCCCUUGAAAAAGUUGAUAAUUCAAUUCAGAUUGAUACAUUUCUUUUGAAGAAGUUUCUAUCUCAUUGCAAGCUGAUGGAGCUACAAAAUAUGAGGUUCCAAAUAUAACACCUUCACUUAAAGACCUCAAAUUAGUUCUUUCAAUAAUGUUGAAUUCAAUGGGUGAAGGAAUUUGAUGGAGUUUCAUUGUGCUCUGAAAAGAGGGCAUAAACAAGAUCGUUUCAUCUCCAACUCUCACAGAAUUUUCAAUCACAUCAGUUGUUCCCAGAUCACGGCCAGUAACUGGACAAGAAGGACCCUCAACUUUUUUCUUGGCUGCGUUAUCUAACACAAUGCCGUGACACCUGCAUGUCUAUAGGCAAAGUACAAUCUUUCAUAAAGUUUUGAUGAUUUUGACCCAAGAAAGGAAAUGGAAUGACAAAAAAAAGGAUGGAAGAAAAGAACCAUGUUAACACACAAUAAAGCAUGAAGCGAUACUUGUAAUUAAUACCUGACAAGCAUCAAAACCGUCAAUAUUUUGACUGACAGAUAUUGACAAGCUGCAGCUUAUGUGAUUCAAAGAGCCUAUAAGGUUGCUUUUAAAGAUGAAUCGAGCUUGCAAUGGUUCCUCCAUGUCAUCCUUUAAAUCCAGUAGCCAUCGUUUCACCAGACUAUGAAAUACUC